AUGAUUUUUUUGUAUUUCGAUGAAAUGCACCCAUUCAUUUUACCAAUAUGCUUGAAUAAUUCAUAACGUGUUUUCGUGUAAUAUCCUAAAAUAAUAUAUGGUUGAUAUAUCUGGAAAGGAUCCUAGAAAAAGUGGGUUUUUGGAAAAUAGCAUAUCAAAUAAUGCCUUGAUAAUAGCUGGAGUUGUUAUUUUUUCAGUUUUUGGUUAUAUUGCAUAUAAAUUAUACCAGAGUAUUCAGAGCAAAAGUAAAAGAAAGACAGAUAAGAAAAUGAAAAUACAUAAGAAUAAAGGUGCAUCAUCGCAUAAUAAAAAAUCAUGAUAAAAUUUUUAUUAUAUGUUUAUUUAUAUAAAUUAUAUGUCUAGAUCACUUAAAUAAUAAAGACAGUAAAUUAUUGUAUUAAUAAUUUAAUAAACAUCUUUACAAUCUCUCCUUUCACAUUUUACAUUUCCAUUCUGUUUAGAUUAAGUAUAAAUUAAUGUCAAAUUCAAACUUUAAUUACUAAGCAUGUGCAAUAUAUGCAUUUUUCUUGAUUAUGAUAAUUAUUGAAUUCUUUAACAUUGUAAGCUAAUUUAAUUCCUGGUAUCCAUUCACUAUUAUGUAAGUGAAAUUUUCCCCCUACAUUGCAAUUUCCUUUUUCAUAUAAUUAAUUACAUUAUAUAUAAAUAAAUAACAUUAUUUAAUUUUUACUUUUUCCAUUUAGCUUAUUUGAUUUAUCUUCAAUUUUAAUAUAAAUAUUAUCAAUCCAAUGUUUGUAUAUAUGCUUUGAAAUAUUGUUACCAUCAGAAAAUUUCAUAGAAUCAGUAAAAUUUAUUGCUACUU